AAGUUGCAAGAAAGGAGAGAGGGUUUGCACUCCCCCUGACAGAUGGAAGGGGGUCUGGCAACAAGCAUGUGGUUGAGGCAUCACCAUCGACUUCGUGGCAUCUAACCAACGUUCUUU